UACGGGAUAAUAUAUUUGAGAGGCAUCUCUUGAAUAUCAAAGGUGAGCCAGUACAGGAUGGACCCGCGUCUGAUUAGCUAGUUGGUAAGGUAACGGCUUACCAAGGCGACGAUCAGUAGCCGACCUGAGAGGGUGAUCGGCCACAGUGGAACUGAGACACGGUCCAAACUCCUACGGGAGGCAGCAGGGGGGAAUAUUGCACAAUGGGCGAAAGCCUGAUGCAGCAACGCCGCGUGAGUGAUGAAGGCCUUCGGGUCGUAAAACUCUGUCCUC
rnacentral:rRNA from 1 species